UACAGAGGUCUCAAGCGUGGUUCGGAUUCAUUGGGCGUAAAGGGUGUGUAGGUGGCGCGCUAAGUCGGGUGUGAAAUUUCGGAGCUUAACUCCGAAACUGCAUUCGAUACUGGCGUGCUUGAGGACUGGAGAGGAGACUGGAAUUCAUGGUGUAGCAGUGAAAUGCGUAGAGAUCAUGAGGAAGACCAGUGGCGAAGGCGGGUCUCUGGACAGUUCCUGACACUGAGACACGAAGGCCAGGGGAGCAAACGGG
rnacentral:rRNA from 1 species